GCCUUGGUGGUGCAGUGGUCAAGGCCAAUAUGCUUGCCUGAUAAACAGGAGGGCAUGGGUUCAAUCCCAGCCAAGGUA
rnacentral:tRNA from 1 species